AUAGUACUCCCUCCGUCCGAAAAUACUUGUCAUCAAAAUGAAUAAAAAAAGAUGUAUCUAAAACUAAAAUACAUCUAGAUACAUCCCCUUUUAUCCAGUUUGAUGAUAAGUAUUUCCGGACAGAGGGAGUACAUC
rnacentral:pre_miRNA from 1 species